CACGGGGGGAGCAAGCGUUGUUCGGAAUUACUGGGCGUAAAGGGCGUGUAGGCGGUCAAGUAAGUGGAAUGUGAAACGCCUCGGCUUACCCGAGGACCUGCAUCCCAAACUGCUUGGCUUGAGUAUGGGAGAGGAUGAGGGAAUUCCGAGUGUAGAGGUGAAAUUCGUAGAUAUUCGGAAGAACACCAGUGGCGAAGGCGGCUCACUGGCCCGUUACCGACGCUCAGGCGCGACAGCGUGGGGAGCAAACAGG
rnacentral:rRNA from 1 species